rnacentral:rRNA from 1 species
CCAAUAGCGUAUAUUAAAGUUGUUGCAGUUAAAAAGCUCGUAGUUGAAUUUCGGGAUCAGUUGAUCGGUCGUGCCUCGGUACGUACUGGUCAAAUGGAUUCCUACCUUCUGACGAACCACGAUGUCAUUAAUUUGGUGUCGCGGGAAAUCAGGACUGUUACUUUGAAAAAAUUAGAGUGUUUAAAGCAGGCUCGCGCUUG